CCUACGGGCGGCAGCAGUGGGGAAUAUUGCACAAUGGGGGAAACCCUGAUGCAGCGACGCCGCGUGAGUGAAGAAGCGCCUCGGCGCGUAAAGCUCUGUCAGCAGGAACGACGAUGACGGUACCUGAAGAAGAAGCUCCGGCUAACUACGUGCCAGCAGCCGCGGUAAUACGGAGGGGGCAAGCGUUAUCCGGAUUUACUGGGUGUAAAGGGAGCGUAGACGGCGGGGCAAGUCUGGAGUGAAAGGCCGGGGCCCAACCCCGGGACCGCUCUGGAAACUGCCCGGCUGGAGUGAAGUAGAGGUUGGCGGAAUUCGGAGUGUAGCGGUGAAAUGCGUAGAUAUUCGGAGGAACACCGGUGGCGAAGGCGGCCAACUGGGCUUUAACUGACGCUGAGGCUCGUAAGUGUGGGGAGCAAACAGGAUUAGAUACCCCUGUAGUC
rnacentral:rRNA from 1 species